UUAACGAAAUAAUCAAAACUUGGUGAAGUAAAACAUUUUAUUAACUAAGUAAAAAAUCAACCGAGAAUUCGUUAGUAGUGGUGAGCGGAAGCGAAGUAGACUUUAAGCUAGAGAAUUCGUUUUUUUAAAUCCAAAGAAGGUUAAAGUCCUGUAAAAAGGACGUUUUUCUAGAUGUACUAUACAACGGAUUAUGUUAAAUCUGUUGAGUAUUGGGGAUCUGCCCUCAAGUCUAUUAAAUCUUUAAUAAUCGAUAGUGAACUAGUACCGUAAGGGAAAGGUGAAACAAAACUUUUUUAGAGUUAAAAAGAAUCUAAAACUUAAUACAUAUAAUCUGUUGGAGCUUUCUUUUUUUAAAGAAAAGUGACAGCGUACCUUUUGCAUAAUGGGCCAGUAAGUUUAUAAUUAAGGCAAGCUUAAUUUCAAUCAGUAGGCGUAAAGAACUUGAAGUUUUAAAGUGCUUAUAAGUCUUGAUUAUAAGACCCGAAGCUGAGUGAUCUAACCAAGAACAGGUUGAAAAAAUAAUGGAAACAUUUUUUGGAGGACCGAACCGGUAUCUGUAGAAAAAGAUUCGGAUGAUUUUUGGUUAGGAGUGAAAGGCUAAUCAAACUCAGUGAUAGCCGGUUUUCUGCGAAAUAUAUUUUAGUAUAGCCUACAAAUUUAGUUAAAACAGGGUAAAGCUCUUUUGAAAUGCGGGGGAUAUUUUAUCUUACUUAAUUUUGAAAAACUUUGAAUAUGUUUUAAUUUUUUGUGGAGUCAGACGAUGGAUGCGAAGGUCCUUCGUCGAAAGGGAAACAGCCCAGACUAUUUGAUAAGGCCUUCAAUUAUAAGUUGAGUGAAAAGAUAGUGUUGGGAUAAAGACAAUUAUAAAGUAGGCUUGGAAGCAGCCAUCUUUUUAAGAAAGCGUAACAGCUCAUUAAUCGAGUUUUAAUGCGUCAAAAAUGUAUAGAGACUAAAACUUAUAGCCGAAUCAGUAGAUCUUUGGUAGCAGAACGUUUGGUUUAUUGUAAAGAUAUUUUGUGAAAAAUGUUUGAGAUAUCCAAAGUGAGCAUACUGGCAUUAGUAGCGUGAAACAAUGUUUAAUCAUUGUCGCCGAAAAUCUAAGGUUUUCAAUACAACAGUUGAUGAUAUUGAAAAAAAUUAAAGCGGUCCCUAAGGCAAAAUACAAAUGUCUAAGCUGAUGGGA
rnacentral:rRNA from 1 species